UCAGGACGAACGCUGGCGGCGUGCUUCAUACAUGCAAGUCGAACGAGAAGCUGACUUCGGUCAGUGGAAAGUGGCGGACGGGUGAGUAAUAUGUAGAGAAUCUGCCCUUGAGUGGGGGACAACAGAGGGAAACUUCUGCUAAUACCCCAUAUGAGCUAACUUGAAAUAGUUAUCUUGAAAACUCCGGUGCUCAAGGAUGAGUCUGCAUCUGAUUAGCUAGUUGGCGGUGUAAUGGACCACCAAGGCGACGAUCAGUAGCUGGUUUGAGAGGAUGAUCAGCCACAAUGGGACUGAGACACGGCCCAUACUCCUACGGGAGGCAGCAGUAGGGAAUUUUGCGCAAUGGGCGAAAGCCCUGACGCAGCAACGCCGCGUGAACGAUUAAGCCCUUCGGGGUGUAAAGUUCUGUCAGUAGGGACGAAUUUUGACGGUACCUACAGAGGAAGCACCGGCUAACUCCGUGCCAGCCGCAGC
rnacentral:rRNA from 1 species